rnacentral:rRNA from 1 species
GAUGAACGCUGGCGGCGUGCCUAAUACAUGCCAGUCGAGCGAACGGACGAGAAGCUUGCUUUUCUGAUGUUAGCGGCGGACGGGUGAGUAACACGUGGAUAACCUACCUAUAAGACUGGGAUAACUUCGGGAAACCGGAGCUAAUACCGGAUAAUAUUUUGAACCGCAUGGUUCAAAAGUGAAAGACGGUCUUGCUGUCACUUAUAGAUGGAUCCGCGCUGCAUUAGCUAGUUGGUAAGGUAACGGCUUACCAAGGCAACGAUGCAUAGCCGACCUGAGAGGGUGAUCGGCCACACUGGAACUGAGACACGGUCCAGACUCCUACGGGAGGCAGCAGUAGGGAAUAUUCCGCAAUGGGCGAAAGCCUGACGGAGCAACGCCGCGUGAGUGAUGAAGGUCUUCGGAUCGUAAAGCUCUGUUAUUAGGGAAGAACAGAUGUGUAAGUAACUGUGCACAUCUUGACGGUACCUAAUCAGAAAGCCACGGCUAACUACGUG